CUUUCAGCCCACAGGCCGAUGCUCUAUCCACUGAGCCACACCGGUUUCAGCUCGCCCGUUCACUUUAGACUCCCCCCGGGGCUGAGCGCCGGCCGCAGGCACAUUUAUAAGCGGAAUCAUAACCGGAAGUCCGGUCACAGCCGGCCUUCGGACGUGCUCUCCGACCACGCGGGCCGCGCGCGGCGCUGCUCCCGCGGAGGGAACCUGAGGGGCUGGACGGGAGCCCGGCCGCGGCAGCGCUGCUCCCCGAAAACCCCGCGCUCCGGAGGCCCCGGGAGAAGCUGGCAACCUCCCGGGCCACGUCCGGGAAAACAGGUGCGGGGCCCGCCCCUUCCGACCGCGCCCGCCCACCUGCGCGCGCAGCCCCACCCCCUGCGCCGCGCGGCGCCCGCGGCGAGGGCCCCUGGGAUUUAUAGGGGGUUAUUUUGGUCCCGCGCCGUGAUUGGCCGACCGCAAGUGACGACACGCUCGCGCGCCGCGGGGCGGGGCCACAUCCGGGGGGCGGAGGAACGCUUCCGGCGGCCGCGCUGAGCUACCAGAACUAUUUGAUGACGGUUCCAAAUCCAUGAAUGUAGACACUGCAGCGGGGCUGGCCGGAGCCAGGCAGGCCUCGGUGCAGUCUGCAUUGAAUGCUGUGAGAGUCAAAACUCUCCUGAACCUCAUUUUCUUUAUUGUAACCUACUUUGCUGUAAGGAUUACGUGAGAUUCAUGAAGUUCCUGGAUUAGUUUGUGUUGUUUAUAAAUAUUU